rnacentral:lncRNA from 1 species
CAGAAGUCCAGCAUGAGCAUGAAUGGUUUGCUCUAUCUUUCUUGGUUAAGAGACCUAACCACUGAACUGCUCAGAGCGACCCACUGUGGUCAAGGCAGCGGCCUCUGGGCUUUCCUAUGCGUUUGUCACUCUUGUUCUGUGUCUCUUGCCCCUUUCACACUGAGGGGUCUCGCCCCUUGGAGGAUGGCGUGUGAUUUUGCCACGAGGUAAAAU